rnacentral:rRNA from 1 species
ACGCACGCUGGCGGCGUGCUUCACCCAUGCAAGUCGCACGCUGAAGCUCAGCUUUUGUUGGGUGGAUGAGUGGCGAACGGGUGAGUAACACGUGAGUAACCUGCCCCCUUCUUUGGGAUAACGCCCGGAAACGGGUGCUAAUACUGGAUAUUCACUGGUCUUCGCAUGGGGGUUGGUGGAAAGGGUUUUUCUGGUGGGGGAUGGGCUCGCGGCCUAUCAGCUUGUUGGUGGGGUGAUGGCCUACCAAGGCUUUGACGGGUAGCCGGCCUGAGAGGGUGACCGGUCACAUUGGGACUGAGAUACGGCCCAGACUCCUACGGGAGGCAGCAGUGGGGAAUAUUGCACAAUGGGCGCAGGCCUGAUGCAGCGACGCCGCGUGAGGGAUGGAGGCCUUCGGGUUGUGAACCUCUUUCGCUCAUGGUCAAGCCGCAACAAUGGUUGUGGUGAGGGUAGUGGGUAAAGAAGCGCCGGCUAACUACGUG